rnacentral:rRNA from 1 species
UUGAACCCUGGUUCUGCCCCUGUGAAAAUAGAUCCCAUUAGAAAUCUAGAGUUAAGAGCACUCAGGAUAGAGUAGGACUAGGAUGGGCGACUUCUCGGGAAGUCCUAGUGUUUUAC